rnacentral:tRNA from 1 species
ACUUAAGUAGUUUAAUAAAAAUUUUGGCUUGUGGCGCCAAGGAUAUAAGUAGUUAUUUUAAGUC